rnacentral:rRNA from 1 species
UACGUGGGGGUGCGAGCGUUGUCCGGAAUUACUGGGCGUAAAGAGCUCGUAGGCGGUCUGUCGCGUCGAUCGUGAAAACUUGGGGCUUAACCCUGAGCUUGCGGUCGAUACGGGCAUGACUGGAGUUCGGCAGGGGAGACUGGAAUUCCUGGUGUAGCGGUGAAAUGCGCAGAUAUCAGGAGGAACACCGGUGGCGAAGGCGGGGUCUCUGGGGCCGAUACUGACGCUGAGGAGCGAAAAGCGUGGGGGAGCGAACAGG